rnacentral:rRNA from 1 species
GCCGCUCAGUGUGCCAGCAGCCGCGGUAAUACGUAGGUGGCAAGCGUUGUCCGGAUUUAUUGGGCGUAAAGCGAGUGCAGGCGGUUCAAUAAGUCUGAUGUGAAAGCCUUCGGCUCAACCGGAGAAUUGCAUCAGAAACUGUUGAACUUGAGUGCAGAAGAGGAGAGUGGAACUCCAUGUGUAGCGGUGGAAUGCGUAGAUAUAUGGAAGAACACCAGUGGCGAAGGCGGCUCUCUGGUCUGCAACUGACGCUGAGGCUCGAAAGCAUGGGUAGCGAACAGG